rnacentral:rRNA from 1 species
ACGGGGGUACAUCAGUGGCAGACGGGUGAGUAACACGUAGGUAACCUGCCCUCGAGAGGGGGAUAACGGGUGGGGAGCGGUCGCUAAGACCCGAUAUAGUCUGAGCUUCGGGAGAAGGUGAGAGGAGAGGCUUCGGUGCUCGGGGAGGGGCCUGCGGCCGAUCAGCUAGUUGGAGAGGUAACGGCUCGCCAAGGCAAUGACGGGUAGGGGGUGUGAGAGCAUGGCCCCCCACACUGGGACUGAGACACGGCCCAGACUCCUAGGGGAGGCAGCAGCAGGGAAUAUUGCGCAAUGGACGGAAGUCUGACGCAGCGACGCCGCGUGGAUGACGAAGGCCUUCGGGUUGUAAAAUCCUUUUCCGGGCGAUGAGGAAGGACACUAGCCUGGGAAAUAAGCGUCGGCUAACUACGUGCCAGCAGCCGCGGAAAGACGUAGGACGCGAGCGUUUAUCCGGAUUAACUGGGCGUAAAGCGCCUGCAGGCGGCCAGGUAAGUCGGUUGUGAAAGCCCCGUGCUCAAC